CUGACCGGCCCGUUACACUCCUCCGAACGGCCCACCCCAACUCGAUGAACUUUCCCCCAUCGCUUUCAACGCCCUCUCGCACCAGGAACCCGCGCCGCCGCCGUCGUUCCCCACCAGGAGCCCGCGCUGCCGCCAUCGUUCCCCACCAGGAACCCGCGCUGCCGCCGUCGUCCCCCACCAGGGACCCGCGCCGACGAGAGGCUCCGGCAUCCCUGAAGCCAACCCCCUGCACGCGCCCCUCCACCAACCCUGAGCGCCGCCGCCCGAUGCAGGUCGCCGCCGAGCGCAGCCACGUAUGGAUCUGGCCGAAGCCGGCCAGAUCCCGUCUCCACCUCGCCGUCUGCGCCGCCCCGCCCCGCGCAUCGCCGGGCCCCAACAGCAACCAGGGCCGUCCUCCCACCAGCAUCCCGUGCCGCCGCCACUUGCAUCCAUGGUGGGCUGCUGGAUGUUGUCCCCUCCUCUGCGUUGAGCCCUGCUGGAGCCCCUCGUCCUCAACAGGAUGUCGACCACCUAGGGCCAAAGGAAGCAAGCCACCGUCACUCUCCGAUGCUCCGGUGAGGUACUCCCAAUUAUCUCUCAUGCUCUAGUGUGUCCACCCUCCUCUCCCUACCGUAGCCUCGAACUUCCCCUCUUCGCAGAAGAAGUUGCGUAAUGUGGCGUUGUGCUGUUGAUUCUCUAGGUUGUACUAGUCCAGAAUUUUUUUGGACAGAAGUUCAAGUGGUUGUUACUGCUGCAAUUUAGAGAUAUUUGUGUUGAUGAUUAUGUAAACAUUUUAAUAGAAGUUCAAAGUUUGAUUUAGAAAGGAGAAAAGAGCUCGAGUUUAAGAAGAAAACUGAAAAAGUCAUUGUCACAUGGGCGACCAUGAAGGUCUGAUGUUGAGAAGGUCAGGUGCAUGAUGCAUCUCCGGCCAUCCCUUUCCCACCUUUUCCUUGGAUGAAAGGAUGAACUUCUCUCCACGCUAAUGGUGACCUUCUUCCUUCUGCUGCUACCUCCUACAUCGCGUGCGUGUUAGUGAAGCAGAGAUGGCGGCGGACUCCAAUCCCACAACACACUAUACGGCCUGCCUGAGCACUAAGCGGCGACCUGCCAAAGGCCUAAGCUAUGACCUUCAUGCAUCUUCUCCCAGUUGUUUUUUAUGGCCGCCUGUGCAUGCAUCAAUGCUGGUCAUGGGAUUUUGUGAGGUAUGUUCCUUGCAGGAAGAAGCAUUGAAAAAAUUGUGACGAUCUCAGGAGCCCUGCCACAACAGGAACCUGUCUCUCGCUACCUCUGUUUCGGAUACUGAUGGACACCGAUAGUGUGAAUUGCUGUAGAGAACAAGUUUUUCUUCAGGUUGUUUUGCUGAUGUUUGAGAGUUCACAUUUUUGCAAGUUGAAAACUCCAUGUUAUGAAGUUCAGUCUACAUAAUACUUCUUUUGAACUUGCACUGCUAAAAGACCUUCCUUUUGCAAGUUGAAAACUCCAGGUUAUGAAGUUCCUCAUUGACACGACGAAGUUGCUCACACCGCUGGUGCUGUAGUGCAUGACCAAGGACCACGAGGCGCCUGACAUGUCUUUGGUCACCGCCAAGGUCUACAAGCUCUUCUUGGAGGUGUAGAACUCCGCCGACAAUGUUCCGCAUCCCUGCCAACAUCUCCAUCUCCAUGGCCCAGGCUGCAACACCUACCAGGAAGCUUCAGCGCCCUGCUGCUAGCACAUGAAGCGCUCGUGCAUUGAAUUGUUUUAGUCAGAGUUCAGAUAACUGAAUCAGAGAGGUUGCUCUAGAACUGGAGUAGUAUACUUCAAAGUUCGGAUAACUGAAUGCUACUUCAGAUUUCAGCUGACUGAAUGCUCGGCCACUGGAAGCUGAAGGCUAGAAGCUAUAAAAAGAUAUUCAGAAGUUCGAAGAAGACUUUCAGAGAAGUUCAAAAUUAAGAAAGAGCAUUAGAAAAGCAAUUAUUAAAAUAAAAAUUAGUGCGUUGGUCCGUGCGUGCUGGGUGUGUUGUCUCGUUUGUGUGUGCAUGCACACCUUGUGGGUGCUCGUGUGUGUGUGUGCGCGCGCGCGCUAUGGUGUGUGUUGUGUGCGUGCUCCGGCGUGUACUCCUGUUUGUGUGUGUGGUUCAAUUAAAAACAUACUGAUGUAAUGGCAAAAGAAAGUGCGUUUUAAAAUAA